UGGGGAAUUUUGGACAAUGGGCGAAAGCCUGAUCCAGCAAUGCCGCGUGCGUGAAGAAGGCCUUCGGGUUGUAAAGCACUUUUGUCCGGAAAGAAAUCCUUGGCUCUAAUACAGUCGGGGGAUGACGGUACCGGAAGAAUAAGCACCGGCUAACUACGUGCCAGCAGCCGCGGUAAUACGUAGGGUGCAAGCGUUAAUCGGAAUUACUGGGCGUAAAGCGUGCGCAGGCGGUUUGCUAAGACCGAUGUGAAAUCCCCGGGCUCAACCUGGGAACUGCAUUGGUGACUGGCAGGCUAGAGUAUGGCAGAGGGGGGUAGAAUUCCACGUGUAGCAGUGAAAUGCGUAGAGAUGUGGAGGAAUACCGAUGGCGAAGGCAGCCCCCUGGGCCAAUACUGACGCUCAUGCACGAAAGCGUGGGGGGCAAACAGGAUUAGAUACCCUGGUAGUCCACGCCCUAAACGAUGUCAACUAGUUGUUGGGGAUUCAUUUCCUUAGUAACGUAGCUAACGCGUGAAGUUGACCGCCUGGGGAGUACGGUCGCAAGAUUAAAACUCAAAGGAAUUGACGGGGUCAUAGCUGUUUCCU
rnacentral:rRNA from 1 species